CUCAUGUUAGUGUCAUCCAUGCUGCCCAUGUUAUCAUCCCAGUUGGGCAACACCAUGCUUGGUUGAUAGCUUGGAGCGUGGGAGGCCUACUAAGCAAGGAGAAGCAAUUGAAGAUGUGCUCCAUUCGGCGAGCUGAGUUCCAAAUUGGAGACUUGCCAAACCUCCUUCGCACGGCCAUCGUGCCGGCGACGCAUCAUUCAAAUUUCUGCCCUAUCAACUUUCGAUGGUAGGAUAGUGGCCUACCAUGGUGGUGACGGGUGACGGAGAAUUAGAGUUCGAUUCCGGAG
rnacentral:rRNA from 1 species